rnacentral:rRNA from 1 species
UGAGUACGAGAUGCUACGGCAUUGAAGCAGUCUAUGUCAUACUUCCAAGAAAAGCUUGCACUGUCAUAAACAAAGAAUGCCUGUACCAUAACCGACACAGGUGGGUAGGUAGAGUAUACUAAGGGGCGCGAGAUAACUCUCUCUAAGGAACUCGGCAAAAUGACCCCGUAACUUCGGGAGAAGGAGUGCCUUAUUUUUAAGGUUGCAAUAACAAGAUCCAAGCAACUGUUUAUCAAAAACACAGGUCUCCGCUAAGUCGUAAGACGAUGUAUGGGGGCUGACGCCUGCCCAGUGCCAGAAGGUUAAAGAAGUUGGUUAGCAUUCGCGAAGCUGAUAACUGAAGCCCUGGUGAACGGCGGCCGUAACUAUAACGGUCCUAAGGUAGCGAAAUUCCUUGUCGGGUAAGUUCCGACCCGCACGAAAGGCGUAAUGAUUUGGAUACUGUCUCGGAGAGGGACUCGGUGAAAUAGACUUGUCUGUGAAGAUGCGGACUACCUGCACCUGGACAGAAAGACCCUAUGAAGCUUUACUGUAACUUGAAAUUGAAAUUGGACUUUAGUUGCGCAGGAUAGGUGGGAGGCGUUGAGAAUAUUCUUGCGGGAGUAUUGGAGCCAUCAGUGAGAUACCACUCUUCUAAUGUUAGAUUUCUAACUUUGUAUCAUUAUCUGGUCAAAGAACAGUUUCAGGCGGGCAGUUUGACUGGGGCGGUCGCCUCCUAAAGGGUAACGGAGGCGCACAAAGGUUUCCUCUGAACGAGUAGAAAUCGUAUCUAGAGUGUAAAGGCAUAAGGAAGCCUGACUGUGAGACCUACAAGUCGAGCAGGGACGAAAGUCGGUCUUAGUGAUCUGACGGUCUGAGUGGAAAGGCCGUCACUCAACGGAUAAAAGUUACUCUAGGAUAACAGGCUGAUCUCCCCCAAGAGUUCACAUCGACGGGGAGGUUUGGCACCUCGAUGUCGGCUCAUCGCAUCCUGGGGCGGUAGUACGUCCCAAGGGUUGGGCUGUUCGCCCAUGAAAGCGGUACGCGAGCUGGGUUCAGAACGUCGUGAGACAGUUCGGUCCAUAUCCGGUGUAGGCGUUAGAAUAUUGAGAGGAGCCUUCUCUAGUACGAGAGGACCGAGAAGGACAUACCUCUAGUGUACCAGUUAUCGUGCCAACGGUAAACGCUGGGUAGCUAUGUAUGGAGUGGAUAACCGCUGAAAGCAUCUAAGUGGGAAGCCCACCUCAAGAUAAG